CAGCCGCCGCGGUAAUACGAAGGGUGCAAGCGUUACUCGGAAUUACUGGGCGUAAAGCGUGCGUAGGUGGUGGUUUAAGUCCGUUGUGAAAGCCCUGGGCUCAACCUGGGAAUUGCAGUGGAUACUGGAUCACUAGAGUGUGGUAGAGGAUAGUGGAAUUUCCGGUGUAGCAGUGAAAUGCGUAGAGAUCGGAAGGAACAUCUGUGGCGAAGGCGACUAACUGGGCCAACACUGACACUGAGGCACGAAAGCGUGGGGAGCAAACAGGAUUAGAUACCCCGGUAGUCCCUGUCUCUUAUAC
rnacentral:rRNA from 1 species